rnacentral:rRNA from 1 species
AGAACGAACGCUGGCGGCAGGCUUAACACAUGCAAGUCGAACGCUCGUAGCAAUACGGGAGUGGCAGACGGGUGAGUAACGCGUGGGAACAUACCCUCCGGUUCGGAAUAGCUCAGGGAAACUUGGAUUAAUACCGGAUACGGCUGAGAGGCGAAAGAUUUAUCGCCGGAGGAUUGGCCCGCGUUCGAUUAGCUUGUUGGUGAGGUAACGGCUCACCAAGGCGAUGAUCGAUAGCUGGUCUGAGAGGAUGAUCAGCCACAUUGGGACUGAGACACGGCCCAAACUCCUACGGGAGGCAGCAGUGGGGAAUAUUGGACAAUGGGCGCAAGCCUGAUCCAGCCAUGCCGCGUGAGUGAUGACGGCCUUAGGGUUGUAAAGCUCUUUCGCUCGGGACGAUAAUGACGGUACCGAGAUAAGAAGCCCCGGCUAACUUCGCGCCAGCAGCCGC